rnacentral:rRNA from 1 species
UAGGGAAUCUUCCACAAUGGACGCAAGUCUGAUGGAGCAACGGCCGCGUGAGUGAAGAAGGUUUUCGGACCGUAAAGCUCUGUUGUUGGUGAAGAAGGAUAGAGGUAGUAACUGGCCUUUAUUUGACGGUAAUCAACCAGAAAGUCACGGCUAACUACGUGCCAGCAGCCGCGGUAAUCGUAGGUGGCAAGCGUUGUCCGGAUUUAUUGGGCGUAAAGCGAGCGCAGGCGGAAGAAUAAGUUUGAUGUGAAAGCCCUCAGCUUAACCGAGGAAUUGCAUCGGAAACUGUUUUUCUUGAGUGCAGAAGAGGAGAGUAGAACUCCAUGUGUAGCGGUGGAAUGCGUAGAUAUAUGGAAGAAUACCAGUGGCGAAGGCGGCUCUCUGGUCUGCAACUGACGCUGAGGCUCGAAAGCAUGGGUAGCGAACAGGAUUAGAUACCCUGGUAGUCCAUGCCGUAAACGAUGAGUGCUAAGUGUUGGGAGGCUUCCGCCUCUCAGUGCUGCAGCUAACGCAUUAAGCACUCCGCCUGGGGGAGUACGACCGCAAGGUUGAAAC